GACGAACGCUGGCGGCGUGCUUAACACAUGCAAGUCGAACGGAAAGGCCCUGCUUUUGUUGGGUGCUCGAGUGGCGAACGGGUGAGUAACACGUGAGUAACCUGCCCUUGACUUUGGGAUAACUUCAGGAAACUGGGGCGAAUACCGGAUAGGAUCUCCUGCUGCAUGGUGGGGGUUGGUAAGUUUCGGCGGUUGUGUAUGGUCUCGCGGCUUAUCAGCUUGUUGGUGGGGUAGUGGCUUACCAAGGCUUUGAAGGGUAGCCGGCCUGAGAGGGUGACCGGCCACAGUGGGACUGAGAUAGGGAGCAGAAUCCUACGGGAGGCAGCAGUGGGGAAUAUUGCGCAAUGGGCGGAAGGCUGAUGCAGCGACGCCGCGUGCGGGAUGACGGCCUUCGGGUUGUAAACCACUUUCGCCUGGGACGAAGCGUGAGUGACGGUAAUGGGUAAAGAAGCACCGGCUAACUACGUG
rnacentral:rRNA from 1 species